rnacentral:antisense_RNA from 1 species
UGUAGGAGCGAGCCUGCUCGCGAUGGCGGCAGUCCAGUCGAUUUAAAUGUUGACUGAUGUUCCGCUAUCGCGAGCAGGCUCGCUCCUACA